CAGGGAGACAACAAAAUGUUUAAUAUUAUUAUUUUGUCACCUUAGGUCGAUCGGUAUCUCACGUUCUUAAUUUACUAAGAAUUUCAUUUCCUAAGUUUUUCUAGGUCACACCCAUUAUUUUCCUGGGCCAUUAGCUCAGGUGGUUAGAGCGCACCCCUGAUAAGGGUGAGGUCCCUGGUUCAAGUCCAGGAUGGCCCAUAUCUCUAUGUUGGGGGUAUAGCUCAGUUGGUAGAGCGCCUGCUUUGCAAGCAGGAUGUCAGCGGUUCGAGUCCGCUUACCUCCACUGAUUACCACCUCUUCCAUAAUUUAAAGAAAGGAAAUGUUUUGAGCUGUGAUCAAAUUCUGAACGAAUCUAGCUUCCUAAUGAAAUCAUUAAGAUGCUGGACUCAUUGAAUUAAUUUCAUUGUUUUCAGAGAACCUUGACAACUGCAUAGAUUAUUUUUAAAGACAAAAAGCAUCUUUAAUGAUGCAGAUUUAUUAUUUGUGCGAAUGCAUUAAUAACAAUUCUAUUAAGCUGAUGCUUCAAUUUUGAAGUUAUU
rnacentral:tRNA from 2 species